CGCGGGUCACACCCGCGCGCACGCGCAGCAGGGGUCUUAGCCACACAGGCGCACGGCGGGGCACGGCGGGGCACGGGCCCUGCUGCAAACGGGCGCGCUCCCUUCUGGGCAAGCAGGUGCGAGGCGCGCGCCAUGGAACAGCCCUUAGCUGAGUUUCGGUUUGCGCGCAAACGGCCGGCCUGGCCGCCCAACGCAGCAUUUCCAGCCAGGGCGCACAAACCUCGGGAGAGAAGGUGGAAGCCGCAGGGGCUCUAAAGGCAGCCCCAGGUUGGCUAAAGCGGUUCCUGGUACGGACACCAAGGCCCCCGUGCUCGGGCCCUACCCAGCCUGGUUCAGGCCUGUCAUACUCGUCUUUCUCUUUCCUGGGAAAUUGCUGAUGGACAGCAUAGUGGAGAGCAGUGUUGCUGUAGACAUCCACGUUCCAGCAGAACGAUGCCACAAAUCUCUUCCUGGCAAUGUACAGCCUCCUCAAAGGCAUCCCAUUUUGUUUAUCACCAAUGUCAAUGUGGCAUUUUCAGUUCACCAGGAGAGUCCCCACUUCCACAUGGCCAUUGGCACAGGCCAAACGUACAGCAGCCCUGUCCAUCCACAGCUGAAGGGAUAGAGAAACUGCCAUACAGAUACACACAGAGUAUGCUUCAGCCAUAAAGCUUUGGGAAAUCCUGUCAUUCGCAGCCACAUGGAGAAACCCAGAGGACAUUAGGUCCAAGAAAAUGAGCCUGGUGGAGCAAGUCCCACACUGCGUGACCUCAGGCAUGUGGACUCCAAAAAGCUUUAUCUCCUGCCCAUCCACAGAUGAAGGGAUCAAGAAACUCUGAUAUAUAUACACAAAGGAAUGUUCUUUGGCCAUCAAGAUAAUUAAAGGAUGUCAUUUGGAGGAACAUAGAUGGCCCGCCGAGGCUGCGGCUGCCUCAUCCUGCACUGUGGAUGGAAGCCGCUGAUCUGACAGGAAGUGGAGCUCAGGUGGUAAUGCUCGCUCUUGCUGUGCUGCCAGGUUCUUAACAGGCCAGGGAUGAUACUGGUCCAGGGGUGGGGGAGCCCUGCUCCAGAUGACAGCCAGAGUAGUCUUAAAUGUAAGUUGGAUUGUUUGUUCCCUGCUUAGACCUUUAGCCAUUUCCCAUUACCAGAAUCUUCGGCGUGGCCUGCGUGGCCCUACUUGAUCUGGCUUCUGUCCUCCCACCCUCCCUCGUUAGCCCCCAUCAUCUCAUGCUACUCCCCCUCGCCCAGGCCACUGCCCAGAUAUAUUCUUCUCCUUGGGCAAGAAGUUCUGUGCAUGCAGGUCAAAUCUGAAAGGGACAUUUCUUUCUUUAAUGAGUGUCAGGGAUGGGGGAUGUGGCUGAUGAUAUAAGGGGCCCUCCAAUCAGACUUUCUAAUCUAACUGAAAAGAUAAUUACAAUGUUGAUGCUAAAAAAGAAGGUUCUGGCAAAAUAGAACUUCUGAAGCAUCAUAAAUCAGAUGACUAAUAUUUGUGAUCCCUUUUUAAAUUUUCAUGUGAAGAAGAAUAGGGGAUGUAACUGAAGAAAUGAACUAAAAGUUCUUCUAUGUAUUGAUAACCUAAGUGUGGGAUGCUGUUUGGCUCUGGAAACACGUGGCCUCCUGAUACUUAAUAAACAAUCUAGCAUCACACAUGACCUGUAUUAAAAGAGACACUUCAGUGCUGAAUAGUUUGGUGCUCAAAGGGCAGGAGAGCCAGUUAGUGCUUGGGGAGGCAGAGGGGGAACCUUACCUGAUGGCCAGGGACGUUGGGACUGACUCAGUCCAUGAACUGUGCUUACCUGGAAGAAAGGCAAGGAGUUGAGGAAGAGAGAGGAGAUGGAGGCAAUUCUAGGCCUGAGAUGGGUCUGAGAAUAUCUGUGGGUAAUAAGACCAAUUAAGCUAGAGUAGAAGGGUCAUUUGUGGAGCAAAAGGUUGUGGAUUGUGUUGUACAUGGAAUUUCUUAGGCCACUGUGGCUCUUAGCAGAUAGUGAAAUCAAUAUAGAGGAUCUUGUCCCCCAUUAAAAAUGUUUUGUUUUGUUUUGUUUUUUUGAGACAGUCUUGCUCUGUUGCACAUGCUGGAGUACAGUGGAGUACAGAUUCUUUUAAAAAAUACAAGUUAAAGAUUGUGAUAGAAAUAUGAAAACUGG
rnacentral:lncRNA from 10 species